rnacentral:snoRNA from 1 species
AUGUCAUAAUAACAAUAAUAAUUCCUCAGGGGGCCUGGUGUGCAAUGACUGUAAACAUCAGCCUCCUUGGUAGUGUACGCUGCCUGUUUCUUGUAUAGGUUGCUCUAAGGAACCUUGGAGACGUCC